AACGAACGCUGGCGGCAUGCCUAACACAUGCAAGUCGAACGAGACCUUCGGGUCUAGUGGCGAACGGGUGCGUAACGCGUGGGAACCUGCCCUUAGGUUCGGAAUAACUCCCCGAAAGGGGUGCUAAUACCGGAUAAUGUCUUCGGACCAAAGAUUUAUCGCCUUUGGAUGGGCCCGCGUUGGAUUAGCUAGUUGGUAGGGUAAAAGCCUACCAAGGCGACGAUACAUAGCUGGUCUGAGAGGAUGAUCAGCCACACUGGGACUGAGACACGGCCCAGACUCCUACGGGAGGCAGCAGUGGGGAAUAUUGGACGAUGGGCGAAAGCCUGAUCCAGCAAUGCCGCGUGAGUGAUGAAGGCCUUAGGGUUGUAAAGCUCUUUUACCCGGGAUGAUAAUGACAGUACCGGGAGAAUAAGCUCCGGCUAACUCCGUG
rnacentral:rRNA from 1 species